AUUGAACGCUGGCGGCAUGCCUUACACAUGCAAGUCGAACGGCAGCACGGGAGCAAUCCUGGUGGCGAGUGGCGAACGGGUGAGUAAUAUAUCGGAACGUGCCCGGUCGUGGGGGAUAACGUAGCGAAAGCUACGCUAAUACCGCAUACGAUCUACGGAUGAAAGCGGGGGAUCGCAAGACCUCGCGCGAUUGGAGCGGCCGAUAUCAGAUUAGGUAGUUGGUGAGGUAAAGGCUCACCAAGCCGACGAUCUGUAGCUGGUCUGAGAGGACGACCAGCCACACUGGGACUGAGACACGGCCCAGACUCCUACGGGAGGCAGCAGUGGGAAUUUGGACAAUGGCGCAAGCCUGAUCCAGCAAUGCCGCGUGC
rnacentral:rRNA from 1 species